rnacentral:rRNA from 1 species
GACGAAGAAAGAAAGAGCGAACGGAGGAUGCCUUGGCUUCUAUAGGCGAAGAAGGACGUGGUAAGCUGCGAAAAGCCGCGGGGAUUGGCAAACACGAAUUGAUCCGCGGAUGUCCGAAUGGGGGAACCCGUCAGGCUGAAGGCCUGACACUCGAAAGAGAGCGAACCCAGGGAACUGAAACAUCUUAGUACCUGGAGGAAGAGAAAGAAAGAUCGAUUUCCAAAGUAGUGGCGAGCGAAAUGGAAAGAGCCCAAACCGUAGUUGUUACGGCAACUGCGGGGUUAUAGGACCACAGAACGAAGCACUGAAAGAACUGGAAGUAUCUGGAAAGAUACAUCGCAGAGGGUGACAAUCCCGUACAGGCAAAGUCGGUGUGGAAUGGUGGGAUCCUGAGUAGGGCGGGACACGAAGAAUCCUGUCUGAAUUCGCGGGGACCAUCCCGCAAGGCUAAAUACUCAUAGAAGACCGAUAGAGAACAGUACCGUGAGGGAAAGGUGAAAAGAACCCCGAACAGGGGAGUGCAAAAGAACCUGAAACCGUUCGUUUACAAGCGGUCGGAGCGAAAGCG